rnacentral:sRNA from 1 species
CUUGACUACUAUUGACCGUUAUUGUAUAUUUAAGACAAUCAUUUACCAAAAUAUAUGUGGAGAUUUGCUGAAUUUCCUUUUUUAUUUAGUAAGUGAUUAAAAAGUUUCCAGUAGCGUUUGUCUACAAGGUAAUAGGAGGAUUAAGUAUUAUGCAAAACGGUAAAGUAAAAUGGUUCAACAAUGAAAAAGGUUUUGGUUUUAUCGAAGUUGAAGGCGGAGACGAUGUAUUCGUUCACUUCACAGCUAUCGAAGGUGACGGUUACAAAUCUUUAGAAGAAGGUCAAGAAGUUUCUUUUGAAAUCGUUGAAGGAAACCGUGGCCCUCAAGCUGCUAACGUAGUAAAACUUUAAUCACAAAAUCGUAUGAUUAACGAUACACACAUAUAGGAAGCUCACUAUUUAUAGUGGGCUUCUUUUU